GUGUAGUAUGAAAGGAGAGACGUUUAGCACUCCCCUAGACAAGGAUGGACACAUAUACAUGGUAAGGGCACUGUCGCCUGUCGGCGGCACUUACCGUAUUUUUUU